GCCUCCCCCGGCCUCCUCCGCCCCCUACCCCUCCUCUCCACCGACCAGCUCCUCCUAGCACCCGGCCACAGCCCCGCCGGCCACCACGUCGCCACCAGCCACCUCCUCCACCUCCGGCCGGACGUGUCGAGGUGGGUCUCUCCCGGCCAUGGGGUCGGCGAGGAAGGCCUCGGUGAUGCCGAGGAUGGGGUCCUUGGGCGCCGGCUCGACGUGGCCGAGGAGAGUUCGUUUUGAAAUCUGUUGUGUCUGUUAAAUUCCCCAUCCCUGGCUCACAACUUCUCUGUGCUCGAAUCGAUUUCGUUUGUUCUGGUGCAUACAAUUCCAACAACUGUUCCAAUUGUUCCAUUCUUGCGAGAGUUCAGGAUGAGGCGGCAUGUCAAGUUAAUGAAAUGAAUAGUAAUGCGAAAGAUUUGGAGAAGAUAAUCGAUGUAUUGUCAUCUCAGAAGGCCAAGGUGGAGGGGGAUCUGAAAGAUAUGGUUAAAAUAUGCAUGGAAAAUUUGUCGUCCAUGAAUGAAUUUGAAGAUAGAGUUAGACAGAAAGUUUCAGAUCAGGCCGCAAAACUUGCUGAUCUCCAGCAGAGCGUCAAAGAUAUUGGUAGCAACUUUCAGAGACUCCAUCAUGCAUAUGAUGAUGUGUCCACAGAGGCAUCUCAGCUUGAGGUAGUCAAGAAAAAUCAUAUUGAGCGUUAAACCAACUAAAGGAGAAAAAUGCAGAAAUUUUGGACAAGCAUCACCAUUUGGAAGAGGAAAAGUUUUGUAUAAGUAAGGAUAACGCAGAGCUGCAAAAGCAUGUCCAAGAACUUGAAUUUCAGCUCAAGCUAGCCAAGCAGAAGCUUGAAGUUGCCGAAGCGGAGAGCAAAUGCAAAGAAGACAGCUAUGUGAUGGCAGUGGAAACAUCAAAAACAGAGAUCAUGCAUCUUGAAGAACAAAUACAGCUGUUCUCUGGAAGGAUUAGCUUGCUGGAAGAAACUUUUGUGCAAAUUAAAGACAGCGCCGCGUCAGUGGUCUCUAAAUUGGACAAUCAAUUGGAUGAGCUUGAAUCACACUCCAGCCAAAGCAUUACGUGCCUCAUUCACCGCUUAUCUGCUUGUGGUGGAGAGUUUAAUGUCCUUCAGAACAUGUUACACAAUUAUCUUGCUGAGCAGAAAGAACUGCUCAAGGAAAACGAAGAUCUGGCUAUUGGAUUGAGAAAGAAAGAAAAGGAAAUGUCAGAAAUGAUUAAGAGUGCUACUGAGUCAGCUGAGAAGAUUGUUCAACUUGAGAAGAUAAUUGAAGAAAAAGACGACGAGCUAGCAGCUAGAGUGCAGGAGAAAAGAUAAGCUAUCAAGCAGCUGAGUGACACAAUUGAUUACCACAAAAACAACAACGAUGAUCUGGUCCGCUACAUCCGCACUCACAACCGUCCCCGCCUUCCAUUUUGUCUGUAAAUUUGAUUACCAAAAAGUUCAUUGUCAGUCAAUAUAUAAGUUGCAUUUUAUCUGUGAACAUCAUUAGACAAUUAUUUCCAAUUUCUUUAAUGUAUCAUAAAUAGUACUCAAUACAAACAAUAAGGAGUAGUCAAAUAGCUCGUGGCCUGCGUAUUCUAUUGUCAUUGGGAGAGGUAGAAACACUUUUUGUUCCUUAUAUUUUAGCAUCCUAUUGGAAUACCAACAGAGGCUAAAGAUGCAAUAAGCAUGAGUUUGACGGACUGAAUUCAUAUUCCAAUCAGGUAAUGUGGCUUUGGUGAUUCUCUUGUUCUCCUUUUCCAUUUAAUACAUAUUUCGACAUUGUAUUUUGUUCCCUCUUUUGUUUUGCAUGUAUCAUUUGCAAUGCCAGCGUACACUCAUCCUCGAGGUUAUUACUAAUUGACUGAUAUACGAGAUAUAAAAUAUGGAGUUAACUAUUGGGCUGUAUUCAUGAAAACGUUUAUUAGUUUUGUGUCAAGAAUUUGUAGUACGCUGGACUGUCAAAAUCCUACUGCUAAAUAUGUCAUCACUUCAUUACAGUAACAUUUACCAAGUCUCUGAAAAAAAAGGUCAGGAAAGUGGGCAGCGUUCGGUUCCCUCCGAGGCUGUUCUCCGGCGUGUCUCCGACCGCCAAGGACCUGAUGAGGCGGAUGAUGUGCCGCGAUGAGUGGAGAUGGUUCUCCGCCGAGCCAGCAAAACAGCCCCGACGCAGAACUGAUUGUCUUCUACAAAAUGAUUAGAGGAGGUCGUCCCUAUCAACACGAGAAACAUGCUUGUGAUUGAGGACAGCGAGCUGACAGCCAAAUGGCCCACGCUCACCACCAUUACCAGAAGCACCAUCUCCAUAGUCAGGCCCAUCUUGAAGCACAUGGAGAUAGUGACUUUGCUGGAAUCAAAUGUACAUACAUGUAGGUAUUGCUAAACAUAUGAAGAGCUCCUCAAAUAGGAAGAUUUACAGUUUGUUAGUAUUGUGAGGUACCUGCUUUUAACUUGGUGUGUAACUAAUGUAAAAAAUGUAUAUUGGCGAUCAACUCAGUUUGAGUGGCUUAUUCUUAAAUUAUGCUUAUUGCCAUA